CCUACGGGCGGCUGCAGUGGGGAAUAUUGCACAAUGGGCGCAAGCCUGAUGCAGCCAUGCCGCGUGUGUGAAGAAGGCCUUCGGGUUGUAAAGCACUUUCAGCGGGGAGGAAGGCGGUGAGGUUAAUAACCUCAUCGAUUGACGUUACCCGCAGAAGAAGCACCGGCUAACUCCGUGCCAGCAGCCGCGGUAAUACGGAGGGUGCAAGCGUUAAUCGGAAUUACUGGGCGUAAAGCGCACGCAGGCGGUCUGUCAAGUCAGAUGUGAAAUCCCCGGGCUCAACCUGGGAACUGCAUUCGAAACUGGCAGGCUAGAGUCGUGUAGAGGGGGGUAGAAUUCCAGGUGUAGCGGUGAAAUGCGUAGAGAUCUGGAGGAAUACCGGUGGCGAAGGCGGCCCCCUGGACAAAGACUGACGCUCAGGUGCGAAAGCGUGGGGAGCAAACAGGAUUAGAUACCCGGGUAGUC
rnacentral:rRNA from 1 species